GACGAACGCUGGCGGCGUGCUUAACACAUGCAAGUCGAACGGAAAGGCCCUGCUUUUGUGGGGUGCUCGAGUGGCGAACGGGUGAGUAACACGUGAGUAACCUGCCCUUGACUUUGGGAUAACUUCAGGAAACUGGGGCUAAUACCGGAUAGGAGCUCCUGCUGCAUGGUGGGGGUUGGAAAGUUUCGGCGGUUGGGGAUGGACUCGCGGCUUAUCAGCUUGUUGGUGGGGUAGUGGCUUACCAAGGCUUUGACGGGUAGCCGGCCUGAGAGGGUGACCGGCCACAUUGGGACUGGGAUACGGCCCAGACUCCUACGGGAGGCAGCAGUGGGGAAUAUUGCACAAUGGGCGGAAGCCUGAUGCAGCAACGCCGCGUGCGGGAUGACGGCCUUCGGGUUGUAAACCGCGUUCGCCUGUGACGAAGCGUGAGUGACGGUAAUGGGUAAAGAAGCACCGGAUAACUACGUG
rnacentral:rRNA from 1 species